rnacentral:tRNA from 1 species
GCAUCCGUGGGAGUCCGCUGGCGUCUAGGAUCGCUGCCCUCCGAAGGCAGAGGCCACUGGUUCGAAUCCAGUCGGGUGCACCA